rnacentral:rRNA from 1 species
AGAACGAACGCUGGCGGCAGGCCUAACACAUGCAAGUCGAACGCCGUAGCAAUACGGAGUGGCAGACGGGUGAGUAACGCGUGGGAACAUACCCUUCGGUUCGGAAUAACUCAGGGAAACUUGAGCUAAUACCGGAUACGUCCGAGGUUUUAAUCGACCUUGGAGAAAGAUUUAUCGCCGGAGGAUUGGCCCGCGUCUGAUUAGCUUGUUGGUGAGGUAAUGGCUCACCAAGGCGACGAUCAGUAGCUGGUCUGAGAGGAUGAUCAGCCACAUUGGGACUGAGACACGGCCCAAACUCCUACGGGAGGCAGCAGUGGGGAAUAUUGGACAAUGGGCGAAAGCCUGAUCCAGCCAUGCCGCGUGAGUGAUGAAGGCCUUAGGGUUGUAAAGCUCUUUUACCGGGAAGAUAAUGACGGUACCGGGAGAAUAAGCCCGGCUAACUUCGUGCCAGCAGCCGC